AAAAGGUGGCUAUGCUACCGCUUUCGGAUGGGCCCGCGGCGCAUUAGCUAGUUGGUGGGGUAAAGGCUUACCAAGGCAAUGAUGCGUAGCCGAACUGAGAGGUUGAUCGGCCACAUUGGGACUGAGACACGGCCCAAACUCCUACGGGAGGCAGCAGUAGGGAAUCUUCCACAAUGGGCGAAAGCCUGAUGGAGCAACGCCGCGUGGGUGAAGAAGGUCUUCGGAUCGUAAAACCCUGUUGUUAGAGAAGAAAGUGCGUGAGAGUAACUGUUCACGUUUCGACGGUAUCUAACCAGAAAGCCACGGCUAACUACGUGCCAGCAGCCGCGGUAAUACGUAGGUGGCAAGCGUUAUCCGGAUUUAUUGGGCGUAAAGGGAACGCAGGCGGUCUUUUAAGUCUGAUGUGAAAGCCUUCGGCUUAACCGGAGUAGUGCAUUGGAAACUGGGAGACUUGAGUGCAGAAGAGGAGAGUGGAACUCCAUGUGUAGCGGUGAAAUGCGUAGAUAUAUGGAAGAACACCAGUGGCGAAAGCGGCUCUCUGGUCUGUAACUGACGCUGAGGUUCGAAAGCGUGGGUAGCAAACAGGAUUAGAUACCCUGGUAGUCCACGCCGUAAACGAUGAAUGCUAAGUGUUGGAGGGUUUCCGCCCUUCA
rnacentral:rRNA from 1 species